rnacentral:ncRNA from 2 species
CGCACGGCACGCGACUGGCGAUAGGCGCCGCACCCCUCCAGGUGCCAUGCGCUGACGUGGAUGACCACUGGGAAGCGUGCCGCCUGCGGCGCACAGCAGGCGUUCCGCCGUUCGCCUGGGCAGCCCUU